UACAAGAUGACACCAGUGGAACUUCCACAGCAUUUAAAUUGGUGGUCAGGGGUCAGCAAUGAGCAAGAAGGAAUAGCAAUACAAGGAUAAGAAAAUAGCAAUAUAAGGAAAAGAAGAAAAGUGUAGACUCAAGCAGCACAGCAUCCCUUCUGUGAUAACACAAAGUGUCUGUGACUCAGGUAGGAUGCUGAACUUACAUCAGCUUCAUGGUGUGAAGCAUCUUUUCUUCCAGGCAGCUGCAGCAAAGCAGAGCCCAGUCCCUGCAGGCUCUGCCUCUGGAUUUUGGAGGCACUGCACUCCUCCAGAGCCUCCUGCCACCUCUAAAUAUCACUGUGCAAAGAGCAGGGGGCUUAUUGGGACUAAAGCUGUGAUCACAAAUCCCCUUGUGCAGCGUCUGACACCCUCCCAGUGCUGGCUGAGAUUUAAAUUGGAGGCCAGGGAAGAGAUUCCUUCCCACAGACCGGGUCCAGCAGGGAGCCCACCCCUCUGCAAAGACAGGGCACUCAGAAAUCAGCCAAAACACAAUAAUUUCAUUAAUUUCGCCGUGAACAACAGGUGAGCCUAAUGCUUUUGAGGAAAAAAAUAUGAAAAAAAAAUCAUUUUCCACUUUUCAAAGACACGAGAAAUCCAUUUGGUGAAGAGGCAGAAAUUCUCCUGGCUCUCUCUCAGCACCACGAAACCACAAAAGACUCCAAAGCCAUCGAGUCCAGCCUGUCCCCAACCCUUGUCCCCAAGUGCCACCUCCUUUCGAGGGCUGGCGAUGCCACCGGGACUCUUUCAGAGCACAACAGCGACAUCAGCCCCGAGGCUUUCCGGAAGGACCGGGCGAGGCGGGGCCGGGGCAGCUCCGCUCCCUUAUAGCGGCCUCGGGCAGGCGGACGGACAGACGGACAGACGGACAGACAGACGGACAGACAGCACCAUGGCCAUCCCCUGCGUGGAGCUCAGCAACAAGAUGAAGAUACCCGCCCUGGGGCUGGGCACCUGGCAGGUACCGAGGGCAGUACUCUAUCACAGACAUGAGAAAGCUGGGCAAUCGAUGAUGGCUUGCAGAAACAAGCUCCUUUCUGCUCUGUGCUCCCCGCGAAAAUCUUUCUACCAGAAUGAGAAUGAAAUUGGGAAUGCGGUCCAGCAGAAGAUCAAGGAGGGAGCUGUGAAACGGGAAGACCUCUUCAUUGUCACUAAGCUGUGGAACACGUUCCAUGAGAAGUCCAUGGUUAAGGUGGGGUUCAAGAAGAGCCUUGCUGCCCUCCAACUGGACUACCUCGACCUCUACCUGAUGCACUUCCCCAUGGGAUUCAAGGUAGUGCUGCUCUCCACCCCUUUCCUCCCUUACUCCAACUUCAACCAUGAGCAGAUUGAAAGAAUCUUGAACAAGCCAGGACUGAACACAAACCUGUAAUGAACCAGGUGGAAUGUCAUCCAUACCUGACCCAGGAGAAGUUGGUCAAGUACUGUAAAUCCAAAGGGUUGGCUGUGACUGCCUACAGCCCCCUGGGCUCUCCUAAUCGCCCCUGGGUGUUUGACUUUGAACUGUCCAAAAAGGAGAUGGAUGUCAUCCUCAGCUUUAACAGGAACUGGAGGGCAGUUCCAGUGGUCCAAGCUGUCAACCACAAGGACUACCCGUUCAAAGCAGAGUAUUAAAUGCAGGUGGUUCCUGCAAGACCUCCAUUUAACUCCUUCCACAUCAGGUGUUCUCUCCAGCUCGACCUUCAUUUCUUCUCUACUUGAUAAUCAUUAUGGGCAGCACCUUUUUCCUCCUUUUUUUUAAGGAGGAGAGCACUAACUGAUGUAAGAAUGCAGCAAAAAGGGUGGGAUUUUUUGUAAAGAUGCUUGGCAGAAAUCUGGUUUUGAUUAAUAGUAAAAAUAAGGUGUCUUUUCAUUUCCUUUUUAUCUGGUCUUCCUUAAUUAGAGACAUGUUUAACAAAAAACUAGCUACUUACAUGGAGUUUUUUAUAUGUUACCUCCAUGUGGUCAGUCACACAGUGGCUCAUGAGUCACUGUCACAGAACAGUUGCUUUUUAUAUAUUUGUGAUUUUUACAGAGUGUAUUUCUAAUGCUUUAAAAUUUUAUAUGAAUAAAGUUUUAUCAACAACAAAAAUCGAUCAGUGUAGUCCUUAAAUUGUUUUAUAUAGUUUGGCAUGUUUUUCUAAAUUUUAAUACAGAUAGAAAUAAGUUUCUAUAAUUUUUGUAAAAGGACAGGAGAUAGAGAUCACUUUGUGGUUUAUUGUUCAAAACAGGAUUGUGCUGUAGCUGGGACCUAAAGAACAAAAUUGUCAUUGUUGCCCCACACAGCCCUUCCUCUGAAUACCUAAAAAACUGAAUUCUUGUGUGAUUAGUGGGGAAGGUUGAAGACAGCAACAGGGGCAAGGAUAAUUCACAGUAAAAUCCAGCCAGAUGAAUGUAAGGGCUGCCUCCAACAUCAGACUGGGAGUCUCAAAUAUAAACUUAGAUUUUUUUUUGCAACUCUGCUGGCAGCAUCCAGAAUAUUACACUCAGACUGAAGCUGAGGAAAGCACAGAAAAAAACCCUUCAAAAUCACCAGAGCAAACCCUGAGACAGGCUGACAGUAAAUUGCUGUAAAAUAUAUUCAGAUUGAUUUUUGCUAGGCCAAAGCCAAGCUGGUUUGUGGCAUUCAGGAGAGACACCCUUAGGGGUUCUUUACCUUAUUUCACAGGGAAUUAGCACAAUUCCUGUCCCACUUACAGCAACUGGUCCAUCCCUACUCAUUGACAACCAGGGGGCUGCUGAUGGGAAUACUCCAUUUAUUGCAGAUGCAGUUUCAGAAUACAUUUCUUUGAACAAAUUGUUUUUAUUGCAGCCAUCAGAUGUUUUUUGAAAGACUCCUAGGAGAGCUCACAAAACCCCCCCAAACAAAAAGAAACCCAUGACAACUCCAGACAAUGCCAGGCACAGUUUCACCCCCUACAGAAAACUUGUGCACCUCCACAUGUAAACAAGAUGUUGCAGCCGAGCAGGGAGCCCAGCUUUGGGUUGAAACAGAACAUUACACUUCUUUAGGAAGAAUCCAGAUGCUGCAGGAGAUGGAAGUGGUGAUAAGGGAGGUCCUGGGGGGCUCUGAUGCAAAGCUGUUCACAAUUUGCUCAGGGGCUACUUGAGUUGCUCAGUUUAUGCCACCAUCUUCUGUAGGAUGUCAAUGUUAAACUGUAUGGCAUGUAAAUCCAAACCAAGCUGAUGUCUUACAGCCAAGUAUUUACUAUGUACAAACAAAAACAUCUGUAAAUAAGGUAUUCAGGAGAGAGAGAGGUAAAAAGAAGCAUCAUAGAGGUUUACUUCAUUUUGGUGUACGGCACUGAUGGAUGGCAAGAUUUAGUGUACAGUCAUUUGAAACCAGCUCCAACUCUCUUUACAUCUUUUUUCUUUUUAAUUAUGGUGGUUUUAUAUAAAUUAAGCUACAAGUUUUUAUACAAGUGACCUAUUUUUGACCCUCUAUACCCUUACCUUUUCCUCUUUUAAAAACUAUACUUUCUUUUUAAUUACCCAUUUCUGGGCAACUGACAUUUAAAUUUUUUUUAAUACUUAUCUCACCAUACCUCUACUGACAAUUACGAAAUCUUACUAUAGAAAAGUCUGUGAUUUUGUCUUUAUUUUUUUUUUUAAGCUGUGAUAUUGGCUAAUUAUGUAUGUUUAUUGCUAAAUAUAAUACUCUAGCACAUAUUAAAGCAUUCUACCAUUAGUAGUGCCUUUAGGCUAAACUUUGUAAAGCUAUGUGUGUAUAUAUAUUCUAGAUUGCAUUCCAUUACUAGUCACUAACAACAAAAAGAAAUAUCAGUACCGCUGUCAGCUAACAUAAUCAUCCAAAUUUAGGUAUUAACUUAAACUAGAAUGGAAACAUU